rnacentral:rRNA from 1 species
GAUGAACGCUAGCGAUAGGCUUAACACAUGCAAGUCGAGGGGCAGCACAAGGUAGCUUGCUAUCUGGGUGGCGACCGGCGCACGGGUGCGUAACGCGUAUGCAACUUGCCCUAUACAGGAGGAUAACCCGUCGAAAGACGGACUAAUACUGCGUAUGCUCACAACUUGGCAUCCAGUGGUGAGGAAAGAAAUUCGGUAUAGGAUAGGCAUGCGUCCCAUUAGCUUGUUGGUGAGGUAACGGCUCACCAAGGCAACGAUGGGUAGGGGAACUGAGAGGUUUAUCCCCCAGACUGGUACUGAGACACGGACCAGACUCCUACGGGAGGCAGCAGUGAGGAAUAUUGGUCAAUGGGCGCGAGCCUGAACCAGCCAAGUCGCGUGAAGGAUGACUGUCUUAUGGAUUGUAAACUUCUUUUAUACGGGAAUAACAAGAGUCACGUGUGACUCCCUGCAUGUACCGUAUGAAUAAGCAUCGGCUAACUCCGUG